UGGCAUAAGAUUGGGCAGGGAUAAGCUUCUCCUAUUUUGGUCUAAUCGUUUCUCUCUUUUCUUUUUUUUUUGUAAAAGUUGCAUUGAAGUCAGCAAGCCUAGCUGACAUCAUGCAAAUCGGGUUCUCACAUUCUCCUGUCUUAAAAAAUUUCAUCCUUGAAAUUUAAAAAAUCUCGAUCUUUUGAAGUUAAAGGUAUUCAACCCAAAACUUUACAUGCACUAACUAAUCCUGGCUUGGC
rnacentral:lncRNA from 1 species